rnacentral:rRNA from 1 species
UACUUGCUGGCGACCGGCAAACGGGUGCGGAACACGUACACAACCUUCCUUCAAGCGGGGAAUAGCCCAGAGAAAUUUGGAUUAAUACCCCAUAAGAUAUUGACACGGCAUCGUGAUGAUAUUAAAGCUUUUGCACUUGAUGAUGGGUGUGCGUAUGAUUAGAUAGUUGGUGAGGUAACGGCUCACCAAGUCUACGAUCAUUAGCUGAUGUGAGAGCAUGAUCAGCCACACGGGCACUGAGACACGGGCCCGACUCCUACGGGAGGCAGCAGUAAGGAAUAUUGGACAAUGGACGCAAGUCUGAUCCAGCCAUGCCGCGUGAAGGAUUAAGGUCCUCUGGAUUGUAAACUUCUUUUAUAGGGGACGAAAAAAGGGCAUUCUUGCUCACUUGACGGUACUCUAUGAAUAAGCACCGGCUAACUCCGUGCCAGCAGCCGCGGUAAUACGGAGGGUGCAAGCGUUAUCCGGAUUCACUGGGUUUAAAGGGUGCGUAGGCGGGUAUGUA